GAUGAACGCUGGCGGCGUGCCUAAUACAUGCAAGUCGAGCGAAGCGGGGACGGGUGAGUAACACGUGGAUAACCUCCUAUAAGACUGGGAUAAAUUCGGGAAAACGGAGCUAAAACGGAUAAUUAUAGAUGAAUCCGCGCUGCAGUAGCUAGUUGGUAAGGUAACGGCUUACCAAGGCAACGAUGCAUAGGCGAUCUGGGAGGGUGAUCGGCCACACUGGAACUGAGACACGGUCCAGACUCCUACGGGAGGCAGCAGUAGGGAAGCUUCCGCAAUGGGCGAAAGCCUGACGGAGCAACGCCGCGUGAGUGAAGAAGGUCUUCGGAUCGUAAAACUCUGUUAUUAGGGAAGCGGUACCUAAUCAGAAAGCCCCGGCUAACUCCGUGCCAGCAGCCGCGGUAAUAC
rnacentral:rRNA from 1 species